rnacentral:rRNA from 1 species
AAACAAUCUAAUGGAAGCGAAUGAAGUUGACGUAUCUAAUACGUAUUCAGUUGUUGAGCAUAGCAAUCUCUGUUGUUAGUAUUCCGUAAGGUUGCUAUAAUGGAGUUGUUGUUGUGUUUAGCAAUGCACUUACGUAUAGAGUGCAGUGAGUCGGUUGGCGACGUUAGUCGAAGCUGUUUCUAGAGGGCGUACUUCGGUGCGUGUCCUAGUGCAGUGGAUGGCUAAUUGGCGUUGGCUGGUUUCAUAUGUGACAGAGGGCCUACGUGCCGGGUUUAGUUGUUCUGUUGGCCUUGUGCUGGUACGCUUGCGUACUGCAUCUGAUUGACUUGACAACGCGAUUCGGUUCACUCUGUUUUCAUUCACUGUAUAGUCGAUCACUCAUUCGACCCGUCUUGAAACACGGACCAAGGAGUUUAUAGUGUACGCAAGUCAUUGAGUAUUGAACGAAGCUCAAAGGCGUAAUGAAAGUGAUAACUGUUAACGUUAAAGUUAGGAUCAAGAGUUCGCUCUUGCGCACUAACUUCCCAUUCCUUGGACUUGUCCUGGUGUGGAGAAUGAGCGUACACAAUGAGACCCGAAAGAUGGUGAACUAUGCCUGAACAGGAUGAAGCCAGAGGAAACUCUGGUGGAAGUCCGAAACGAUUCUGACGUGCAAAUCGAUCGUCUGAUUUUGGUAUAGGGGCGAAAGACUAAUCGAACUAUCUAGUAGCUGGUUCCUUCCGA